UUGACCUCAAAUCGGGUGAGACUACCCGCUGAACUUAAGCAUAUCAAA
rnacentral:rRNA from 2 species